AUGCUGCUUUUCAUGGAUCGCGACUUGUGUAAGAGCAUCAAAGUACACACUGCCACAUCAUCCUCUAGUAUCUGGGGGCCUCCCGUCACUUACGAUAGGCACCGUGACUCCUUGUGGUGGUCAGUCCAUGACUACAGCCAACCCACAAUCCUCCACGGUGGUGUUAUCAACUGGCUAGCGGACCAUGGCGAACAAAUCCUCACCUAUGAUGUGAGGACCAGAAUGUCGGGACGGGUGAAGCUCCCACCUACCAACUGCAAUGAAAAGCAGCUACACUUGGCAACGUCGUCAGACGGGAGCAUACUGAAAUUGAUCACUAUAGAUGGGUUCAUGCUAUCCAUGUGGCUACACAUCCCCACAGUACUAGCAAGUUGUGGUGGUGCUAGUGGUUGGGCGCUGGAAGGUGUGAUCGAUGUAGAGGAGAAGCUGCGGUCGUUGUACCCAGACCUUCCUGUUGUAGCUGGCUCUGAUGUACUAGUUGAGCUUAAUGGAUUUGGAAAGAGGAACGGAGACGUGGUUGAAUUGCAGGUGCAUGAUCGAGAUUGUGUGUUUCUUGAUAUGAAGACAAAGGAGAUGCAUCGGCAAAAGUAUGGCUCCUACUCCCAGUUGUUUGAGAUUGACUUGCCAUCUCACCUACAAACCAUGAAAGUUUUCUCGUAG
rnacentral:rRNA from 1 species